rnacentral:rRNA from 1 species
GAUGAACGCUGGCGGCGUGCCUAAUACAUGCAAGUCGAGCGAACAGACGAGGAGCUUGCUCCUCUGACGUUAGCGGCGGACGGGUGAGUAACACGUGGAUAACCUACCUAUAAGACUGGGAUAACUUCGGGAAACCGGAGCUAAUACCGGAUAAUAUAUUGAACCGCAUGGUUCAAUAGUGAAAGACGGUUUUGCUGUCACUUAUAGCUGGAUCCGCGCCGCAUUAGCUAGUUGGUAAGGUAACGGCUUACCAAGGCAACGAUGCGUAGCCGACCUGAGAGGGUGAUCGGCCACACUGGAACUGAGACACGGUCCAGACUCCUACGGGAGGCAGCAGUAGGGAAUCUUCGGCAAUGGGCGAAAGCUUGACGCAGCAACGCCGCGUGAGUGAUGAAGGUCUUCGUAUCGUAAAACUCUGUUAUUAGGGAAGAACAAAUGUGUAAGUAACUAUGCACGUCUUGACGGUACCUAAUCAGAAAGCCACGGCUAACUACGUG